CCCUUAGAUGUCCUGGGCCGCACGCGCGUUACACUGAUGCAUUCAACGAGCUUAUAACCUUGGCCGAGAGGCCUGGGCAAUCUUGUUAACGUGCGUCGUGAUAGGGAUAGAUUAUUGAAAUUAUUAAUCUUGAACGAGGAAUUCCUAGUAAACGCAGAUCAUCAAUCUGCAUUGAUUACGUCCCUGCCCUUUGUACACACCGCCCGUCGCACCUACCGAUUGGAUGGUCCGGUGAAGCCUCGGGAUUGUGGUUCUUGCCGCUUUAUUGUGGCGUGACCGCGAGAACUUGUCUAAACCUUAUCAUCUAGAGGAAGGUGAAGUCGUAACA
rnacentral:rRNA from 1 species